GGGGCUGUGGCGCAGUUGGGAGCGCGCCUCCUUGGCGUGGAGGAGGUCACGGGUUCAAAUCCCGUCAGCUCCACCA
rnacentral:tRNA from 3 species